GACGAACGCUGGCGGCGUGCUUAACACAUGCAAGUCGAACGGAAAGGCCCUGCUUUUGUGGGGUGCUCGAGUGGCGAACGGGUGAGUAACACGUGAGUAACCUGCCCUUGACUUUGGGAUAACUUCAGGAAACUGGGGCUAAUACCGGAUAGGAGCUCCUGCUGCAUGGUGGGGGUUGGAAAGUUUCGGCGGUUGGGGAUGGACUCGCGGCUUAUCAGCUUGUUGGUGGGGUAGUGGCUUACCAAGGCUUUGACGGGUAGCCGGCCUGAGAGGGUGACCGGCCACAUUGGGACUGAGAUACGGCCCAGACUCCUACGGGAGGCAGCAGUGGGGAACAUUGCACAAUGGGCGGAAGCCUGAUGCAGCAAAGCCGCGUGCGGGAUGACGGCCUUCGGGUUGUAAACCGCUUUCGCCUGUGACGAAGCGUGAGUGACGGUAAUGGGUAAAGAAGCACCGGCUAACUACGUG
rnacentral:rRNA from 1 species